CUGACAUGUGAGGUUCCUGUAAGGAAGUUUACAAAAGCUCAGAUCCCUGGUCUCAAAAGUUUACCCAAUAUUCACCUGAGGGGAAAAAAACCAUAAAUGAGAUGCUUAGGAAGAUGAUGCCAAUAUUUAAUAAUCCAGCAAGGUGUGAUGGGCAGUGAGAAAGGUACUUCAG